CGGCGGACGGGUGAGUAACGCGUGGGCAACCUGCCUUACACAGGGGGAUAACAGUUAGAAAUGACUGCUAAUACCGCAUAAGACCGCGGAACCGCAUGGUUCUGAGGUAAAAACUCCGGUGGUGUAAGAUGGGCCCGCGUCUGAUUAGGUAGUUGGUGAGGUAACGGCUCACCAAGCCGACGAUCAGUAGCCGACCUGAGAGGGUGACCGGCCACAUUGGGACUGAGACACGGCCCAGACUCCUACGGAAGGCAGCAG
rnacentral:rRNA from 1 species